ACAUCACUUCGAUUGUAUUCGGUACUCUGAACAGAAUGAAUUGGCUUCCACUAAUGCUGGUUGGGCUCUGGGCGGCAGAGUCUUUGGCAAGAAUACCCUAAUGGUUCGGUGGCAAUGGAUUACUUGGCCGAUGAAUGGGCCACAACAGUGAGCAGGUACCCGCCACUAUCCAUUGAACUUGGCGAUAAAAUGGGAAAACUUUUUAACAAAAAUUUCAAGCAUCUGGAGUGAUCUGUGGACUCUACAUAUUGGCAAAACUGCACCAUCAGAUGUUGGAACGGGGUAACGAUCUUAUUGAAGACACAGAGGAAUGCCGUGAAAACUUACAACCAAAGAUUGAACUGUUAAAAUCAAACAUUAACCCACAACCAAUUGGCUUGGACGAAGAUUUGGACUCACUCAUCAGACAGUGCCAGGUAUUCUUGAUCUUAUCACCUGGAAAUGUGGCGAUCCCUACACCGGUAAGUUUAUACGAUACCUGCUCAUUCAUGUACGUAGAAAAAAAUCACUGAUAAAUAUCAGAAAGGUCAUAUAUGCUCCCGAUAGACCCGAUGGGAAAACACGUGACAACAUAGGUAAUAACAUGCAACGACUAUGUUAUGAAGAAUUAAGGCUACGUCCCUGCGCGCUUUGCGGUCUAGUUAUUUUCGAUUUUUAUACAACUAGGGGCUUCGCUAUUUAGGUUUUCCGCUCCGUGGUUUUCGGCGUGGUUGUCGGCCCUACAAAAACAUCGUGCUGGCGACUUGGACAAUAAUAUAGUUUUUCACUCUUUUAACUUGAGGACCUGGACCGCGAAUACGCUGGUACCGUCAACCUGGGCUCCUGAAAUUGGCUGUUUCCAUCGAUCUGAACGAUCUGAGCAACGAAUAUUGCUGAGCGCUAACGAAAAAUGCCACUCCGGGACGCAGGAUCUACACGUCGAAAACCACAAUGCGAAAAAGCUAACUUGAUGCGUUUUAACAAGAUCUCUUUAUAGAUGUAGCGAGAUUUAUUUGGUAACAUAACAAUUUUUCCCCAAUUUUUCGGCAAUUGUAAGUCCGAGGCGCAGGAUAUAGACGCCGAAGACCACGAAGCGAAAGGCUGGUGAAGCCAGCUUCGGGGGUAUUAAACAGCUAGCUUGAUGCUUCUUCCGUUUUAAAAAAGUCAACUUCAGAGGCUUAAUAUGAUAUUUUUAUAGAUAUAUAGAGAUUAUGUAUGUUUUCACAUCGCAGAACCUCGGUGCAUUGCCAGCAGAACAAAUAGUGCCUCAAAGAUAAAAUGAAAAGAUUAUUCAAUAAUAAUUACAAUAAUAAUAAUGAUGAAAAUAUUACCGUGAUGGAAUGUAGUGCACGCAUAGAAUUGUGUAUGAGGAGUACGGUAAAACAACAAAAAAUGUUUAUAAAUUAUACCAAGGUGUUGGAGUUUCUGUUGUAAAAACAGUUAAUUUGGAAAAUAUUGUCGUUAUUCUAAUGAACGUUGUUUAUUUAAACACAUGGCCGAGAAAAGAAAUGGGGACACAUGUGUAGAGUUUAUCUAUGUAAAAUUACGACACUAUGCCACAGGUAAUACCGUUUUUUCGAAAGAUCAACAAUCCUUUUUUUCCAAUAUCAUUGCUCGUUAAGUAUAUAAGGUUCAGAUUAUUUGACGCUGACCGCUAGUAUGAUAUAUGUUUACGAUACGAUAUACGGUACGACAUAUAUUUUAAAAAAUAUGAGGUGGUGCCUGGCGAUAUUGUUUUUUGGACUCACGUCUACAGUAUGUUCUGGACACAUGUGCGAGCCCGUUUAUGGGGUGGACUUCGAAUUGCUGACCUCUGCAUAUGCGGCGGGUGCUGAAAGUUUUCCAACACCGACUAUCGAAUUCCAUGAUCGCUCAGCGUGCAAAUUUGGAAUGAAAUACACGAAUGACGUAAUGUCAUACAUCGAGUCACUUUUCCUCAAUGUAUACCUUCAGGCUGAUCAGACAGGUCAUCAACUGGUCAAGGCUAUUAAAGAUUGCUCUAAUGUGUUAAGAGGAGCGAUCUUAUCCAUUGGGAACAUUCAAGAGACACACACCAGUAUAGAAGAAAGUUUGACAUCGCUGAUUGGACAGGUUAAAGUAUUUUUGAGUCUAGUUCCUGGAAACGUGGACGUCAAAUUCGCGGCUCUACCCGAUUUACCUGCGGAACAAGUAACUAUCCCGCUUUCCAUUGACAAGGAGCUAUCAGCGGCUGAUUACUUUCUCCAUUGGGCAGAAACAGCAGACUCGGUUUUCGUCAGAUUGUAUGGGUACAUUACUGGAAUGUUCCUAUCCGGCUGGAGUAACGCUAGGUUGUAUUUCAACGUCGUUGGAACACAAAUUCGUAACCAGGUUCUGACUUCAACAGCCUUGACUAACUACAAGAUUGCCGUUGCCGAAGUGCUCAGUCAGUCUGAUCUAAUUCAAAGUCACUGCACAAACGAAACAUGGGGAUUAUUCCAAGAAGUCGCUUCCGAAGUAGCUGCAGUUUCGCACAACGUGCAAGACGCGUUGGAAAACUAUAACACAUGCCUUGCAUAAUAUAACACUGUGCACUACCUUUGUAUCCAUCGUUAAAUGAAAUGAAUGUAUUGCUUUAUCCAAUUUGCUUGAUAUGAAAAUAUAAUAUUUCUCAAUUUACUCUCUUGGCAACUGAA
rnacentral:misc_RNA from 1 species